rnacentral:rRNA from 1 species
UGGCGAACGGGUGAGUAACACGUGAGUAACCUGCCCACAACUUUGGGAUAACGCUAGGAAACUGGUGCUAAUACUGGAUAUGUGCUCCUGCUGCAUGGUGGGGGUUGGAAAGCUCCGGCGGUUGUGGAUGGACUCGCGGCCUAUCAGCUUGUUGGUGGGGUAGUGGCCUACCAAGUCGGCGACGGGUAGCCGGCCUGAGAGGGUGACCGGCCACAUUGGGACUGAGAUACGGCCCAG